UACGUAGGUGGCAAGCGUUGUCCGGAAUUAUUGGGCGUAAAGCGCGCGCAGGCGGUCCUUUAAGUCUGAUGUGAAAGCCCACGGCUCAACCGUGGAGGGUCAUUGGAAACUGGGGGACUUGAGUGCAGAAGAGGAAAGCGGAAUUCCACGUGUAGCGGUUGAAAUGCGUAGAGAUGUGGAGGAACACCAGUGGCGAAGGCGGCUUUCUGGUCUGUAACUGACGCUGAGGCGCGAAAGCGUGGGGAGCAAACAGG
rnacentral:rRNA from 1 species